AACGAAGAGUUACAUGUGUCUAGAUAGAUAAUACCUGCUUCUGUGAUAAACCCAGUCUCUGGCGGUGAAUUUUAUAGUUGUGUGAGAUAAAGGAAAUAUUGUAAAAUAAACUGAAGUUCUGUUUCUGCUGACAGGACUUUGUCUUGGGGGCACAGACGGCUUUGAAGAUGCUUAUUAAAGAAUGUGCAGAAAAGCUGUUGGAAAUAAGACACUGCCUGGUUCCUACAUACAGUUUGCUGUUGGCAAAAAUCCCUGUCUAUUAGAAUCGGCGUAGUUUCAACACUAGCACCCCCUACGAUUUGAAGUUUAUUCUCAAACAAUAAACUUAGCAGCACAAUCUACUGGAAGAUUCUCAGGCAGGUUAAGAAAAUCCUUCAAAUCAGAUAAGCAAGAAACCAAAUUAGUGGAACAGCAGAUUCAAAGGAUGUCAGGGGAGUGUUUACAUUUACAAGAGGAGGAGUUUAGAGAUUCUUUGGGUGGCAGACGGGGAGUGAGAAGCAUUUCUUAGGGCCUCCUGAGGCAGAUGAAGGGUAAAUGAAUGUACCAUGACUCCAUGUCACAAAAGCCAAUUGUGAGCGCCUCCUGCAAAUGAAAAUCAGCUUAUGCAAUGAGAAACGGCGCUCAACAUCUGCUGAGUUUGUUACACCAUUAACAUAUGUUAAUGCCAUUGCAUCUAAUGUGGGUAGUUUGUCUUCAGUGAGAGCCAAAACACAUCAGUGUCAAGACUGCCAGUGAAGUAACACCCAAAGAUCCUUUUUGUCUCCAAGAAAACAAACCUUGAAUUAAAUCACAUUUCUGGUGCUAGAUGUUGCAAUGCAGUUUUCAAAGGAACAUUAAAAAAAGCCGAGAAACAGGUAAUGUGAAUAUCAAACAAUAAAUAGCUCCUGCAAUUGAAAAUAAAGUAUAUCUGAUUGCAUAGCACCACGUCACAGUGAGUCACACACACAGACACACACACAUACUCAGACACACACUCACACACUGGCCUCUACUAAUAUUGUCACCCCUUGGUAAAUAUGGGCAAAGAAGGCUGUGAAAAAUUGUCUUUUGUUC